UCAGACGACAUCUUCUACAAUACCACUGGGCCAAUAUUAAUGAAACUUGGCAGGAAUACUCAUUGUAUGAAGCUCUAUCAAGAUUGUUCAAAAAAUGCCAUUCCAUGGUAAACUCUGGUUGCUAUGGCAACUAAAAGAAAAAACUUAUAAGUUCUUAUACUUCAAAAUGGAAAGGGCUAGAGCUUAGAUAUUUCUCACAAGGCAUUAGCUUGUUAGUUCCUACAAAGUAUAUUCAAAUUAUUAUCUAAAGCUGAAAAUUGGUCUCUAUUUUGGUAGUUAAAGGUUUUUUUAUUGCAAGGUUAUAUAGACUUUCUUUGUAGGGAUAAAUUGAGACAGUGUAUCUUGUAUUAUUUGUCUGAACAGACAUUGUUAUGAAGAUUUUUCUUUUAAAGCAUUAGAAGGAUGAAAAGUUUGUUGAAUGUGAAUGUUAAUUCAAAACAGAGUCGAUCAGAAUAGCACAAAUUUGAGAGCUAUAGUGAAGUUGAUUUCCCUAUUCAAUAAUGGAUUUUUCCAUUAAUUUCGUAAUAUCAUCAGAAAGGAAGACUGUGUCAUUUCCGAAAUUAAAUGCAUUGUAUUUUGGUUCUUGACAUUGACUUGCACAUUUUCUUUGUAAGAUAUUGCACAAAGAAACGAAAGUGAACAAAAAGUGUUGUAUUUCUUUCACAAAAAAAUAGCUUAUUAAGAUAAAAGUUUAAUUUACAGUGCGGAUAUGACUUAAAUUCUUCCUUCCGGUUUGCGGAAAAAAUCAUAUAUUCAACAUUGUGUACACCGGUCUUACUGAAUCUGCUGAACGAUUUAUGACAUAAUAUUUUAUUCUGAUUAUAAACAUACAAUUCAAAUCAUUAAAUAAUAGAUAUCAAUCAGUCCUGAGUCUUAGAAAAGAUCUGUAUCAAUCUGACCUAUACACUAAACUAAAUCGGAUUACGGGAAUUAGGACAAAAUGGCGACCUUGAACAAGGAAAUUGAGAAAUUUUGUAACAUAAACUCGUAUUUCAAAACAAAGAAGUGAAGAUGAAUACAAUUAUCGAUGUGCUUCGUUGAAACAGGUUUUUUGUUAACUAUUUGUGAAGUAUUAAGGGAUGACAUUUAGUAUUUAUGUAAAUAUCACCUCCCGUGAUAUGAUUUCCAAAAUUAUACAUGUUUUCGGCGAUCUCCGAGGUCAUUUUUCUGAAUGACGCAAAUCCGAUGAGAAAUCGGGAAGGGUGUGUGAGCAUGCCUCAUUAAUUAGCGUGUGCACAUUGCUUGAUAAUGCUUGAUAUAUAUUUUAAAAUAAAUUUGUCCAUCUCAGACUCGUUUGUAUACGAAUCAAAACAAUUACGGAGAUUGCCGAUGAAAAAUUGAGCUAGAAUAUACAAGAUCAGAUUUGAUUGGUCGUCGUUUUUUACUAGCCAAUGAAAUCGUUUGUUGCAUAGUCAUUUGAUGUCAAAAUACAUGUACAAAUACAAGAAGUGUUUACCGCCUGGUCUGAAAAAGGGUGCAAAAAACAAAUGGAGGUGGGAGUGGUUAGCGGAAAAGGACUCUAAAUGUGAAAAAUGGGAUGCUUGGUUGAAGAAACCAAAUGCAAUGGGCUUUUGUGAAGUCUGUUCCAAAACGAUCAACUAGACAAAUCGAACAGAAAAAGGUGCUUCUUAAUCACGAUGAGCUGAAGAUGAGGACCACUAAAAGAAUCUUAGACCAAGUACUGCCAGGCUCAUCAAAAGCUGUGGACAAAAAGAUUGAAAGUAUGCAAGACCGCAUUGCCAUACAAAGAGCAAUCACAACUGCCUUUCUUAGUGAACAUUGACUGCCAUUUUCCAUAGCAGGCGAUCUCUACGUUUAGCUGAACACAAGCCUGCUCUUGAAAAAACUUCUCUUUCUCCAACCAGUGCAAUGUACAUAACAACACAUGGUGUAGCCAAAUCUGUUAAGGUCAAAAGUGAAAGACAAGUUAAUAUCUUUGAAUAUGGAUGAGGCAACUAACAAAAAACAAUAACAAAGUAAUCUUUUAGUACUUUGAUGAUGAAACUAGUCAAGUAGUAAUGGAUCAUUUAGGAUUGAAAAUUCAAAAUGUUUCCACAUCUGAAGAAAUUGUCAAGUCAGUUGAAAGUGUGCUACAUUAACAAGUGGAAGACAAUGGAAAAGGAUUAAAUUUAAGAUAUGAAAUUGAAAGUAAAAGAAUGAACAUAAUUUGUUAUGUGGAAUGUGUAUAUAUUGCUUAAAUAGUAUUGCUCAGUGAAUUUGUGUAAAUUUUAACAUAUCAGAUUAAUUACAUCUGAAGAUAUAUAAAGCACUUGAGUAUGUAUCUGAGCCUUUUUUGAACUUUUAAAUUCACUAAAUUGCAAAAGCUUCCAAGGGCCUCCAGCCCCCUGACCCCCAACUUUUUCUUUCAGAAUUUAAGUUUCUGUAACUUUUACCCCUGCAUGUACACAUGUGUUUAUCACCUCAAUAAAUGUAAGUGAAAAUGGAACAAUAAUUAUGGUAAUUAUCCAUGGUGCUAGAAAUACUUAAUUAUCUUUAUCAUGUUAACUAAGCAAGAAGCUUAUAAUUGUUAUCAAUUUAAACUUGAAAAUCUAGUCUAAAUGACUUCCCAAACAGUAAUUUCUGAAAACAUGAAAAUGAUUCGUGUAGAAAAAUAACACAAGAAAAAACUGAUUUGACUCAUGAAAUUUUUUGGCCAAACAGUCUGCCACGUGAAAUUCUGACCUUCCUGAGAUCCCUGCUGUUUGUUUUUUUUUCUGUACGAAAUCUGCUGUGGUCAUAGUAUUAUUUUUACAAUAGUUUUAUCUCUUGGAUUUGGUUCGCUAAAUUGCUAAUCAUGGUCAUGCAACUACAUAGUUAGAUGAAGAAGCAGGCGCUUGUUUUGGUUGAGUCUAUUAUGUUUUGUUUAGGGGGUUGAGUUGUCAUACACAAAUUUACAAUUUAUAUGCAUUUAUUUUUUUCCAAUGAUUGUUAUUAUCUUAAAUGCUUCUGGGAUUGUUGUUUUAUCAAUUCAUUUGUAAAUAAGAUUGUUAUAUGUCUAUUAACGGAAUAAUUUUAAUGAACACGAAAUUAGUUCACACCUACAUGUGUAUUGGUAUUAACGUGAUGGUUUAAGCCAAUGAAAACACGUCAAUAUUAUUAUACUCAGGCAGAGAAAAAGUGUGCAAAGAGUAAAUCGAUAAUCUUUAUGUAGCCAGCAAACUUUGAAUUGCAAGUAUUUUUUCAUAUCUUUUCGGCAGGAUAAACUGUCCGAGGAUUCGUAUCGUAAAAUGGCUGCCUUUUACAGUAUCAAGUGAUUAUCCCAAGCACCACCGCGACUUAGCGCGGGAAUUUUAAUUAUAGCUAACCUCUGCGCGAAUACCUUUUUCAUAUUUUAUUGUAAUAAAUAUUUACAAACUGUGUCUUUCGGGGUUUUUUUUAUCAAUAUAUAGCCAAUAAUGAUGUUAAUAUGAAUAAAUAAUCAUAUCUCAAAUCUUUGACUAUGAUUUACAAUGAAAUUCUACCUUUAGUGUAUUAAAAAGGUUUUUAAUUUCCUGUAAUUUUAUUUUGUGAUUAUGCUUCAAAGCAGUCAAUUGACCGUGAAUUUUCUUUUCAUAUUUUGAUUUCCUUGAAAUCAUUUUUCUCAUCAGAAGGCAUGCAACUUUAAUAUGGUGAUACAUUAAUUACAUUCCAUGAAAAUGUUUAAAGAUAUAAAAUAUCUCAUGACAUGUUUGUUCAUUUUACAUUACACCUUUUAUUCAGCAAGAAUGAAGUCUUCACAAAAAGUAGUAUGCAAUCGUACCUAUAUUACAUACGAAUGUAUGUAAUAUUUUUCUUGUUUAAUAACAUUUUACAUGAUUUUAUUAACCAGGUUUUCCGAAGGAAAAAACUGGUUAUUAGAUUGAGGUAUGUCGGCGGGCGGGCGGGCGUAAACAAUUUCUUCUGUGCGCAACUCCUCCUACAUUUCUCAACAGAUUUUGACCAAACUUUCACAGAAGCUUUGUCAUCAAGUGCCCUGGCGCAUAUUGUCCGGGUUUUGCCAUUGGAUAAUAUUUGACCUAAUUAUGGCCCUUUGUUGUUUUUUCUUAUAUAGAAUAUAUAGUGAACAAUUUCUUCUGUGCGCAACUCCCCCUACAUUUAUCAACAGAUUUUGACCAAACUUUUACAGAAGCUUUAUCAUCAAGUGCCCUGGCACAUAUUGUCGGGGUUUUGCGAUUGGAUAAUAUUUGACCUAAUUAUGGCCCUUUGUUUUUUUUUAUAUAGAAUAUAUAGUGAACAAUUUCUUCUGUGCGCAACUCCUACAUUUCUCAACGGAUUUUGACCAAACUUUCACAGAAGCUUUGUCAUCAAGUGCUCUGGCACAUAUUGUCCGGGUUUUGCGAUUGGAUAAUAUUUGACCUAAUUAUGGCCCUUUGUUUUUUUUCCUUAUAUAGAAUAUAUAGUGAACAAUUUCUUCUGUGCGAGACUCCUCUUACAUUUUUCAACGGAUUUUGACCAAACUUUCUCAGAAGCUUUGUUAUCAAGUUCCCUGGCACAUAUUAUCAGGGUUUUGUGAUUGGAUAAUAUUUGACGUAAUUAUGACCCUUUGUUUUUUUUCCUUAUAUAGAAUAUAUAGUGAACAAUUUCUACAGUGCGCAACUUCUCCUACAUUUCUCAACAGAUUUUGACCAAACUUUCACAGAAGCUUUGUUAUCAAGUGCCCUGGCGCAUAUUGUCGGGGUUUUGUGAUUUGAUAAUAUUUGACCUAAUUAUGCCCCUUUGUUUUUUUUCCUCAAUAUAUAAUGAUCAAAUUCUUCUGUGCUGAACUAGUCCUACAUUUCUCAACAGAUUUUGUUCAAACUUUCACAGAAGCCAUAUCAUCAAGUGCCCUGGCGCAUAUUGUAGAGGUUUUGUGAUUGGAUACUUUUUGACCUAAUUACGGCCCUUUGUUUUUUUUCCUUAUACAGAAUAUAUAGUGAACACUUCUUCUGUGGCAAUUCCUCCUUCAUUAUUCAUGUUUUACAUUGCACAUAGUUACAUUGUUUAUUGCUUGUAUUUGUAUUUCAAAUACAACAUAUUUAUCUACAAUGGAGAUAAUUGAAAACCUGGUUUCGUGGCAUUGCCAUGUUUCUUGUUUUAUGAUUAAACCUGUGUAUAGAGCCACUCAUGUGAACAGGAAGAAGUUUUUGUAGAAAGGGAUGUCCAAAUAUGAUAAACCAUAGAUGCUUGGGGGUUAGAUCCUGUCUCCAACAUGAUACCCCUGAGUAAACACCUUUAUCAAAAAUUAUUUUAAUAUCUAAACACUAAUGGGAUAUCUGGUACAACUAUAAUACUGGUUUUCGAAAAAUUUUACAUAAUCAUAUGCAAAAAAAAUACUGUUUACCAUCAUGUAUUGAGACUUAAUUCCGGGCAGACAGGCGAAUUGGUUGGGCCUUUUUGGUAACAUUUUUCUCAGCAACUACUCUAGAGAACCUCAUAAUAUUUAGUUUACAGCAUUAACACAUUGUCCCAUACCAUGGGAUUCGAUUUCAGGUCUGUCGCUCAUCCACUUCAUGUUAACUGACUUAGUUAAAUUCAUAAUAAUGGUCAAUGGUAGGAAUUUUUCCUAACGAUUUUCUCAGCAACUACUUAUCACAGCCUCUUGAUAUUUGGUAUGCAGCAUCAACAUGUAGUCACAUACAAUGGGAUAUGAUUUCAGGUAUGUGGCUCAUUCACUUCCCGUUUGAUGACUUAGUUGAAUUUUUGGCAUUAAUUGUAAAUGGAAGGAAAUUUCUGUAACAGUUUUCUCAGCAACUACAUAACACAGCCUCUUGAUAUUUGGUAAUGUGACUGCAUUAAUAUGUGGUCCCAAGUUCAGGUCUAUCGCUUAUCCACUUCCUGUUUACCGACUUAGUAAAAAGUUCGACAUUACUGGUCAAUGGUAGUACAUUUUUGUAACAUCACAGCCUCAUGAGUCAUGUUAUUUGGUAUACAAAUGCAACCCGGCCAUUUUUGUCUUUGACCCAUUUUUAUUGAAGUAUUAUCCAAAUUUGUACUUCGCCUUGUUAAUUAUGAUGUCAUUGUUAAAAUUUUCAUGAUGUAAACACACUACAGGGAGUGUAUUUUUUAGCAACCUAUACUUUAAAGAAAAGAAAAAAGAGGUAUUUCUAUACACUUGAUUGCAUUCCUCUUGCUCAAAAAUACUUUACAUUUGACACUAACUAAAUAACAUUUUAAGUAUUUUAUAAACAUGUUGCUUGUUUUAAAUAAGAAAAAUCCAGUUAACAUCUAUUUCUUAAGGUGAGCGAUAUAGGGCCAUCAUGGCCCUCUUGUUUGAUUUUUGACUUAGUUUUACGGGUAAAAACAAUGGGGGAAUGGUCACUUAUUGAAAGAAUUGGGACCUUAAUAUUACAUAUAUUUUGAGACUGAUUUGUGUAGAGAUGGUCAAUGAUAGUUGAGGAUGUUGGCGUGACUCUAGUAGGUUGUGUUAUUAGUUGAUUUAAAUUGAAUGUACUGAUUGUAUUAUUCCAUUUUCAAUUAACUGAAAUAGAAUUAAUAAAAUUGUAGUUGAAAUCGCCAAAGAGAAUGAUUUCUUUGUUUUCAACGUAUAAGGUUUCUAAUAUUUUUUCAAUUUCUUCAGUCCAUGAAUUAAGUGAUGAAGGGGGCCUAUAAAUAUAUCCUACAAUAAAAGGUUUUUGUUUGUCAAGCUUCAUUUCUAUCCAUAUUGCUUCAAUAUCACUUAAAUUAAGGUCUGUUCUACUCUCACAAUGUAAGUUUGAUUUUACAUAUAAAACUAUUCCUCCCCCAUUUGAUUGUCUGUCAUGCCUGAAAAGUUGAUAAUUUGUUUAAUUAAUUUCAUUGUUUGAGAAAGCAUCACUGAGAAAGGUUUCUUGUAAUCCAAGAAUGUCAAUAUCCGGGAGAUUAUCAACUAGAAACUGAAUUUCACUGAAUUUUGGAUAUAAAUAAUGUAUAUUGAGAUGCAUAAAGUUAAGUCCAUUUUUGUCUAAUUUUAAGUCUUGGAGUUUUAAGUCUUGAUGUGAUGUGUCCAGAUUGUUAUUACUUAUUUUAAGAGGAAAUUUAUUUUCUUGACUAUUUUCAUUUUCUUGAUGAGUAUGUAAAGAUGUAGAAUCAUUAAGAGCUUCGAAAUGGAGUUUGUCACCGAUUCCACUUUGUACAGUUAGUAUGGUGCAUGAUGCACUGGUGUCCAUGGAUAUGGCCUCUGCAUCCAUAUUGGCAUCCUUCUGUUGAAAUUGUGUUGGGGAAUCCUGUUGUGACCUUGAUAUUGCUGUCUCCUCUUAUGUUGGUUUCUGUUGUUCCAAUAAGAUUGAUGUGGUGGUAUUCUGUGACGGUUGUCCCUGGGAAAAUUUCGAGCAGACUGUGCUGGAGAACCUUUGAUGUUUAGGGUAGAUUUAAUGGCUGCCAAAAUUUGCCCUCCGAGCACAGCACCACCAGAUUUAUUAAGGUGGACUUCGUCAUAGUACAGCCUUUCAUUGAUGUUUUCAUCCGUUGUAAAUGAUUGUGUAUUGUCCACAAAUGUGUAACCGUUUCGUCCGGGUCCGUCCGUCGUCCGUCCGUCCGUAAACUUUUACUUUAAAUGACAUCUCCUCAUAAACCACUAAGCCAAUUUCAUCCAAACUUCACAGGAAUGUUUCUUUGGUGGUCACCUUUAAAAAUUGUUCAAAGAAUUUAAUUCCAUGCAGAACUCUG